UGCUAAGGGAAAAAAAGGAUGGGGAAAGGAGUGGCAGUAUCUAUAGCUAGAGGGUCGUCCUAUUUGUGGAAAACUUUAUUGUCUACUUUAGUGGGUCCUGAAUAUUAGUCCAGUCCUUACUGCCCAGCACUUAAGGAAGAAAGGUCUAAUGUGACUGUAUGGGGGUUGAAGUAGGUACCAAAGGAAAAGCAGUUCCCACCACCUCCAAGGAGCAGGAGCUGUUGCUCUUCAGGAAGAAGGAUGCUAGUAUGGUUGUGUAACAUUAAUGGCCAUGGCACAUAUGUUGUGUCAAUCUGAUACUCAGAGCUCAAUCCUGUAGUCAAAUUGAUCACAGUCACUCCAGGAAAUGAGGAGGAAUGAAUCCAGAUCCCUCCAACCAGUAACAGCUUUCCAUUGAGCACAUGAGCUGUGUGGGAGUACCUUGGGGUAAUGGGAGGCUGGAUGUCUACUGACUCCCAGAGGAAUCCACAAGAGAUUGGUCUCAGAAAGAGCACAGAGUUCAAUGGCUCCUCAGAAGCCCCGAGACCUCCAGCAAUAAGGGCUCCCCCUUGCCAAGUGCAGGCACUGUGAGAAUGCCGGGCUUCAGGUACUUCUCCCUCCACUGGGAUCCUGACCCAAGCCAUUGUCCCUACAUGUAGGAAAUGCCAGUCACUUAGUACAGGUUCCACCACGCUUCGACCCCCAUACACAAACAAAUAUUCCUGAUUCUGACAGGACACUUCUGUUGUUGAAUGCCGCCAACAACACAAAGUGGAAUCAUCCUUUCGGCCAGCCUUUGUUAUUGUCACUUUCAGGUCCUCAGUGUUAUUAUCCUCACUCUUAAAAAAAUGAAGCUGGAGAACCCCCAAGGCUGGACUUACUGGGGACAGUCUCCCUCCCAGAAUCAGAAUCCGACUCUCUGAGAGUCUUGUCAUGGUGUGAUAAAGGCGUCCAUCCCACUGAACUCCAGUCCCACAACUGCCUAUUUGGCUGCCUUUCCAUUCAGAGUCACAAUCUCUUGAGAGCAAGUGAAACUGGCUCACUCGGCAGUGCCGCCCCUCCUGCUCUCCAAAUCCUCCUGCACUGAGAAUAACGUCUGGGCUCAAGAAGACAGAGGCGUGGCCAUAUCUCUUCAGGUUUGGGACCUGGCCCUCGCUACUGACUACACUGGCAGGGAAUAACCCUGAAGGCGAAGCAGGAUUUACGCGAGGGAAUGCCUCUGAGGAUGGAAACACUAGGGUGUGGGAGAGGGUGUCUCCCCUAGAAGCUGCCAGAAUGAAAUAAUGGGCGCACUUCAGAUGCCACUCCUCAAAUUCGUCAAAGGGUUCAAUAUUUUCCACCCGCCGGCGCUCUUCUGCGGGAAGGAAGCAGUGAUAGAAUUCAUUCAUGUCCACGGCACCGCAGGCGGUCCAGCCAGCUUGAAGGAAGCGGCGCCGCUGCGCCUCCACGUCAGGAAAGCGCUCCAGGCCAUGCAGGGGGGAGUUUAGCUGCCGAAAAUGUUGCAGCAUGCACUGGCCAAAGGCGUCUUGAGGCCUCAUCUGCUCAUAGACCACGAAAAGGGCAUUAGGAAAACGCUGGGCUGCCCAGGCGAUGAGGGCCGCGGCACUCUCCGGCUCGAGGUAGGUCAGCACCGCCUCGGCCAGCAGCAGAGUGGGUGAGGCUGCGUCGAGCCCCGCGGCGCCCAGGGCCUCCUCCACUCGCUGGAGCUGCCGCAAGUCCAGACCCAGGAUGCAGUAGUCUGCGCUCUCAAAGCACAGCGCGGACGCGGGCUCCCCCCUCUGGAAAGGCCCGGUUAACGCGCACAGCUCUGGCGUCUCUCCAAUCCUUUCUGCUUUGCGCCGCGCCACCUCCGGAAAAUCCACCUCCCAGACUGCAGCCCGGGCCAGGCGGCCCGCGGUUUUUAAGCGAAAAUAGAGCGAGUCGAAGCCAGCGCCGAGAGACAAGAUCUGCGCGCGAAGCGCGGCCUGGGGCGCGCCAAUCUGCUCCAAAAAAGCGCGCACGCAGUGCCUCACGGCGCGUGCGCGGACGUAGUAGCCUCGGUGAAUGAGCGGUGCGCGGCGCGCCGCGCCCGGAACCAGCAACGCGGCAAAGGGGUCCUGCACGUACCCGCGCGCGGCCAGGGAACGCUUGCUGAGGGCGCUGCUGUCGUUGGUGUUCUGUACCGCGCCUGCCCGACGCUCACGGCUCCGGGGGCCCAUGGCCAGAAGAGACUCAGGAAUGGCAGUCUGUCACGGUUGUGAGCCGCCCCUUGGUUAGCACACACCUCACGGACCUCGGUGGAAGCAAAUACUGCACAUGCGUGUUGGUCCUGUGAGGGAAACCAGCUAGUGGAGAGGGAGAGGUUGAAGGAACAGAAAAAUGAGAAGAUAACUCACUGGUAGAGUAACUUGGAAUAGAUAGAAAUGGGAUCCUGGGCACGUAUUAGUUGUGGGGAUAGGAGAAUGAAUCCUUUAUCUGUGACUCCUGAUGGAGUAAAAAAAAGAUUAUGGAUAAUCAUAAGCUCAGGUGUGAGGUAGGGCAGAGAGAAAAAGAAGGAAUUUACACCUGAUGGCUUCUGUUUUCUCUGUAAAGUUGGUGACAGAGUUGUCAGUUUAGUGUAAGGCAUUCAGAUCUGAUGGAACAUUUGAGCAGUUUGAGAAUUGCUUCUGAA
rnacentral:lncRNA from 1 species